rnacentral:rRNA from 1 species
CGACCUCAGAUCAGAAGGGCCGAAUUUCCACAGUGAUAUCAGCUUAUCGAUACCGUCGACCUCGAGGGGGGGGCCGGUACCCAGCCUUUUUGUUCCCUUUAGUGGAG